GAUUGGGGAGGGGCAGGAGAGGAGGGAUGUAAACAAAGGCAAACUCCCUUAGUUUCCAUUCCAUUGCUCCCAAACUCCUUCAAACCCUUAGGGAGCACCGGCCAGCUCGCUAGGCUUGUGCUGGGUCUGGACUCCAUUUCCCAGAGUUCCUCGGCGCCUAGUGCGUGGGUGCACGUCGGAGCGCGCCUGCGCGCUGGUGGCUCCGCGUCCCGGGGCAGCGGAAGUUCACGCAGCGUUCAGAGCCGGGGCUGUUGCUCCACCCGCGCUCGCGGGGGUCUUUUGCUGUACACCUUCCAUUCCAGGCAGUUUGCGAGCGCAACACCCGGCCGGCCCCGCUGCUUCUCCUUCCGCUGCUGUCGCUGGGUCCGAGGCCACCCCCACGCGCCGGGGACUUUGCCUGCCCCUCACGCUCCGCCUUGCUGCACCUGCGUGUCCUGGAGCGCGCCGCCGGGCUCCCCGCCAAUUCCCCCGGCAAGUGCGGAGACCAGGGAGGGGCGUGGACGCGGGUGCGUGCGGGUGCGAGGGCGGCUGGCGGCUGGCGGCUGGCGGCUGGCGGCUCGGGGACCCGGCUCUGGGUGCGCUGCCCAGCGAGCCGGCGCCCCGAUCCGGGCUGUGGCGGCUCCGACCGCAGCCUUCCAGCCUCCCGGCGCCCCGCGGGCCCCGUGCGCUGCUUCCCUCCAACUUUCCGCCAUGCAUUUUGUUCUGGGCGAGCCUGGUAGGCGAGAGGACGGCGGAAGAAGGCAGCGGGACUCCCCUCGUCCAUAUUUUCAUAGAGCCCCGGUCCCACUUUGGCUUGGUGGAGAGAAUGCCCUCUGGCCGGGCUUCCUGGUCAACCCUGCGGCGGUUCCGGCGGCAGAGCGGGGCUGGUGGCCCCCAGCAAGGAGCCCGGGGCGGCGGGCAGAUGGCUCAGCCUCGCUGCCCCCACUCUGCACGCGCACAACCCGCAAGUCCCCGCAGUGCCACUCCCCGCUGGUUGUCCUACAGCUCCUGCAGCUGGAAUGUGUUUCCCACGGCAGUGCUCGUGUCCUGCUACUGUGUGAAGAGCUGCCUAGAGACAGCUGUCGGCCCACCUGCUGAAGAAGCGUAUUGCAUGGAUGUUCAUCUGGGAGACGGCCGAGAAUAGGAUGUGUCAACUUGGCAGGUCAUUCCCUGUGCUCCUGGACUUGCUAG
rnacentral:lncRNA from 1 species